rnacentral:lncRNA from 13 species
AUGACUGCCUCGCCUGGUUCACCAACUACUUCUCAGAUAGAGUUCAGUGUGUCAAAUCGGAGGGCCUGUUAUCCGGACUUCUGGCAGUUUCUAUGGGGGUUCAAUUCUCGGGCCGACUCUUUUCUCUGUAUAUUCUCUGUAUAUAUCAAUGAUGUCGCUCUUGCUGAGGGUGAUUCCUUGAUCCACCUCUAUGCAGACGACACCAUUCUGUAUACAUCUGGCCCUUCUUUGGACACUGUGUUAACAAACCUCCAAACGAGCUUCAAUGCCAUACAACACUCCUUCCGUGGCCUCCAAUUGCUCUUAAACGCUAGUAAAACUAAAUGUAUGCUCUUCAACCGAUCGCUGCCCGCACCCGCCCGCCCGACUAGCAUUACUACUCUGGACGGUUCUGACUUAGAAUAUGUGGACAACCACAAAUACCUAGGUGUCUGGCUAGACUCCUUCCAGAUUCACAUUACGCAUCUCCAAUACAAAAUUAAAUCUAGAAUCAGCUUCCUAUUUCGCAACAAAGCCUCCUUCACUCACGCUGCCAAACAUACCCUCGUAAAACUGACUAUCCUACCGAUCCUCGACUUCGGCGAUGUCAUUUACAAAAUAGCCUCCAACACUCUACUCAAAAAACUGGAUGCAGUCUAUCACAGUGCCAUCCUUUUUGUCACCAAAGUCCCAAAUUCCACCCACCACUGCGACCUGUAUGCUCUCGUCGGCUGGCCCUCGCUACAUAUUCGUCGCCAGACCCACUGGCUCCAAGUCAUCUAUAAGUCUUUGCUAGGUAAAGAUCCGCCUUAUCUCAGCUCACUGGUCACCAUAACAACACCCACCCAUAGCACGCGCUACAGCAGGUACAGUGCCUUGCGAAAGUAUUCGGCCCCCUUGAACUUUGCGACCUUUUGCCACAUUUCAGGCUUCAAACAUAAAGAUAUAAAAUGGGACACAAUCAUGAAGUGGAACGACAUUUAUUGGAUAUUUCAAACUUUUUUAACAAAUCAAAAACUGAAAAAUUGGGCGUGCAAAAUGAUUCAGCCCCCUUAA